rnacentral:ncRNA from 1 species
GAAACGCACCGGGGGUGUCCGAAUCCGCUAGCGUUCCGCUAGCAGGUUCGGGCUGAGAAAGUCCCUUCGAACCUGAACAGGAUAAUACCUGCGUAGGGAGUGUGCUUUUUCUUUUCU